UACGAAGGGUGCAAGCGUUACUCGGAAUUACUGGGCGUAAAGCGUGCGUAGGCGGUUUGUUAAGUCUGUCGUGAAAGCCCCGGGCUCAACCUGGGAAUGGCGAUGGAUACUGGCAAGCUAGAGUGUGUCAGAGGAUAGUGGAAUUCCGAGUGUAGAGGUGAAAUUCGUAGAUAUUCGGAAGAACACCAGUGGCGAAGGCGGCUUCCUAUCAUAGACCUGACGCUCAUGCACGAAAGCGUGGGGAGCAAACAGG
rnacentral:rRNA from 1 species